CAGUCGCCACGGGAAUACGAAGGGGGCUAGCGUUGCUCGGAAUUACUGGGCGUAAAGGGCGCGUAGGCGGACAGUUAAGUCAGAGGUGAAAGCCCAGGGCUCAACCCUGGAAUUGCCUUUGAUACUGGCUGUCUUGAGUAUGGGAGAGGUAAGCGGAACUCCGAGUGUAGAGGUGAAAUUCGUAGAUAUUCGGAAGAACACCAGUGGCGAAGGCGGCUUACUGGCCCAUUACUGACGCUGAGGCGCGAAAGCGUGGGGAGCAAACAGGAUUAGAUACCCGCGUAGUCCCUGUCUCUUAUAA
rnacentral:rRNA from 1 species